rnacentral:rRNA from 1 species
UACGUAGGGUGCGAGCGUUGUCCGGAAUUAUUGGGCGUAAAGAGCUCGUAGGCGGCUUGUCGCGUCGGAUGUGAAAGCCCGGGGCUUAACUCCGGGUCUGCAUUCGAUACGGGCAGGCUAGAGUGUGGUAGAGGAGAUCGAAUUCCUGGUGUAGCGGUGAAAUGCGCAGAUAUCAGGAGGAACACCGGUGGCGAAGGCGGAUCUCUGGGCCAUUACUGACGCUGAGGAGCGAAAGCGUGGGGAGCGAACAGG